GAUGAACGCUAGCUACAGGCUUAACACAUGCAAGUCGAGGGGCAGCAUGAACAUAGCUUGCUAUGUUUGAUGGCGACCGGCGCACGGGUGCGUAACACGUAUCCAAUCUGCCCGUUACUCGGGGAUAGCCUUCUGAAAGGAAGAUUAAUACCCGAUAGUAUUCAUUGGCGGCAUCGCUUAUGAAUUAAAGAUUUAUUGGUAACGGAUGAGGAUGCGUACGAUUAGCUGGUUGGCGGGGUAACGGCCCACCAAGGCUACGAUCGUUAGGGGUUCUGAGAGGAAGGUCCCCCACACUGGAACUGAGACACGGUCCAGACUCCUACGGGAGGCAGCAGUGAGGAAUAUUGGUCAAUGGGCGAGAGCUGAACCAGCCAAGUAGCGUGAAGGAUGACUGCCCUACGGGUUGUAAACUUCUUUUGUUUGGGAAUAAAAGACGCUACGUGUAGCGUUCUGCAUGUACCUUACGAAUAAGCAUCGGCUAAUUCCGUGCCAGCCGCCGCAGUAACAC
rnacentral:rRNA from 1 species